CAUCGCCUCUUGCCCAAACAUAAGAGGUCCAGCCUGCCCAGUGACAUAGUUUAACGGCCGCGGUACCCUAACCGUGCGAAGGUAGCAUAAUCACUUGUUCUUUAAAUAGGGACUCGUAUCAACGGCAUUACGAGGGCUGUACUGUCUCCUUUCUCCAAUCAGUGAAACUGAUCCCCCCGUGAAAAAGCGGGGAUAAACCUAUAAGACGAGAAGACCCCAUGGAGCUUUAAACCCAUCACACACCUCUACGCACCUAAAACAAUAUAGCCCAAGGGGCUUCUGUGCUGGUUUUAGGUUGGGGGGACCGCGGAGUAAAAUUUAACCUCCACGACAGACGGACUAACACCCUUAUCCACGAACCACAAUUCUAAGAGCCAAAAAAUUGUUGUCUAAUGACCCAAUUACUUGAUCAACGGACCAAGUUACCCUGGGGAUAACAGCGCAAUCUACUUCAAGAGUUCAUAUCGACAAGUAGGUUUACGACCUCGAUGUUGGAUCAGGGUAUCCUAGUGGUGCAGCCGCUACUAAAGG
rnacentral:rRNA from 1 species